AAUGUCUUACUCAAGUUAUCAGAAUUUUCUAUGUUCAUAUAUCGCAAUGCGAGUAUUGAUAUCUUAGCCGCCGCCCACUUCAAUUAUCAAGAUUUUCUUUAUCUAUGUUCACAUAUUUCCAGUCGCAGCCCUAUAAAUAAUUCUCCUUUAUGUGUUUUAGAUUACCGAAAAGAAAAGCGAAAAACAACAGAACUGGCCUUCAUGGUGCCGCUGCUGUCUAGGGUAACGAUACUAGAAAAUAAUACAAACGGUAGAAUAAAGAUCCAAGAAUCGCACCCUUAUCAACCUGAAUGUAUAGAACUGAAACCUUUUGGUUCCAAGGAGAUUAAAGCCACCUUGUACUUCCGCCGAGGCAUCGAGUCUGGAAGGCCUAUGGUCUUUAAAUUGUUCAUCGACGGAGUCUUAACGGAAAGGCACUUGGCACCUCAACACUUUAUCCAGUAUCUCAAAAUCUCCUUCUCCGUUGAUAAUAACAGUGGCCAGCUUAUCGUGAAAGGGAUCCGCCCAACCACCUUUACUUGCCACCUCCGCCGCCUACGCGGACUGCGCUUUCUCAUGGGCAGAGGUCGCCAAACAGGGGAAGAAGAGCUCAUCCAUUGAAAUUUUAGAAGUUUUAAAAGACUACAAAAGGAAUUGAAGGCAAUCAUUUUGCUUAUGAUUCAAUGGCCAAAGAAGCAAUUAGAAGAUCACAAAAUAAGAUUAAAUAAUUUCGUUUAUCUCCUCCAAAAUAAUUGUCUUAGCUCCGGCGUGCAGGGUAUGCUUAGUGUUCAGUUUGGCUUGUUUAAUUAGGAUUUGAAGUUGGACCUGCUUAUGUUAUUGGUGUUCUUCGUCUCUAAAAAGUGGCUCUAAGAAUUUCUUUCUGUUUUUGUUUUCUCAGUUCACUGUAGUUUUGAUAGUCGGAACGGUUGUUUGAAGGUUCCUUUUGUUUUUUUUUUUUUUCCCUUUAUUUCGUAAUUUUCCUUGUUUUCAAGGAUUAUUUGUACUCCUUAUAUUAUAACUUGAUGAAUGGAAUUAUAUUUUUAUUGUGUCA